GACGAACGCUGGCGGCGUGCUUAACACAUGCAAGUCGAACGGAAAGGCCCUGCUUUUGUGGGGUGCUCGAGUGGCGAACGGGUGAGUAACACGUGAGUAACCUGCCCUUGACUUUGGGAUAACUUCAGGAAACUGGGGCUAAUACCGGAUAGGAGCUCCUGCUGCAUGGUGGGGGUUGGAAAGUUUCGGCGGUAGGGGAUGGACUCGCGGCUUAUCAGCUUGUUGGUGGGGUAGUGGCUUACCAAGGCUUUGACGGGUAGCCGGCCUGAGAGGGUGGCCGGCGACAUUGGGACUGAGAUACGGCGCAGACUCCUACGGGAGGCAGCAGUGGGGAAUAUUGCACAAUGGGCGGAAGCCUGAUGCAGCAACGCCGCGUGCGGGAUGACGGCCUUCGGGUUGUAAACCGCUUUCGCCUGUGACGAAGCGUGAGUGACGGUAAUGGGUAAAGAAGCACCGGCUAACUACGUG
rnacentral:rRNA from 1 species